rnacentral:rRNA from 1 species
GUGCCAGCAGCCGCGGUAAUACGGAGGAUGCAAGCGUUAUCCGGAAUGAUUGGGCGUAAAGCGUCCGUAGGUAGCAGUGUGUGUCUAUUGUUAAAGAGUUUGGCUUAACCAAAUAAAGGCGGUAGAAACUACACAGCUAGAGUGCGUUCGGGGCAGAGGGAAUUCCUGGUGUAGCGGUGAAAUGCGUAGAGAUCAGGAAGAACACCGGUGGCGAAAGCGCUCUGCUAGGCCGCAACUGACACUGAGGGACGAAAGCUAGGGGAGCGAAUGGGAUUAGAUACCCCCGUAGUCC